rnacentral:tRNA from 1 species
GCCCUUAUAGCUCAGUGGUAGAGCGCGUCACUAGUAAUGACGAGGUCGUAGGUUCGACUCCUGCUGAGGGCA